AGAGAUUGAUUCUGUCACAUGACAGAAGACACUGAUUUAGCAUUUACAGAAUCGAGUUCAAAGCCUAUCAAAGACAAGAGAGAGUCACCAAGUCACCUUUGGGCGGGGGUGUAUGGAUAGGACCCAGCUGGUUUUUGAGUCAGGGAGUGACCCAGAGAAGAAGUUACAUUCUUACACAGCAGGUGAACCAGGAACUUGCUGUAAAUGACCUGCAGGAUCGCAGCUGAGCUCUCAGACAAGGCUUUCUGCAAUGACUAAUACGACUACGGUCUAAUGCGACAGUUCACCGUCUGCAGCCUAUUCAGUCCCGAAAGUAAGCAAGUUCCUCCAGAUGUUACACACUGAAAAAAAAAAAAAAAAAGAAAAAAAAAAA